rnacentral:rRNA from 1 species
GAACGCUGCGGCAUGCUUACACAUGCAAGUCGAACGGCAGCACGGGCUUCGGCCUGGUGGCGAGUGGCGAACGGGUGAGUAAUACAUCGGAACGUACCCAGAAGUGGGGGAUAACGUAGCGAAAGUUACGCUAAUACCGCAUACGUUCUACGGAAGAAAGUGGGGGAUCGCAAGACCUCAUGCUUUUGGAGCGGCCGAUGUCUGAUUAGCUAGUUGGUGAGGUAAAGGCUCACCAAGGCGACGAUCAGUAGCUGGUCUGAGAGGACGACCAGCCACACUGGAACUGAGACACGGUCCAGACUCCUACGGGAGGCAGCAGUGGGGAAUUUUGGACAAUGGGCGCAAGCUCUGAUCUCAGCAAUGCCGCGUGAGUGAAGAAGGCUCUUCGGGUUGUAAAGCUCUUUUGUCAGGGAAGAAACGGCAGGGGCUAAUAUCCUUUGCUAAUGACGGUGACUUCAAGAA